UGAGGAAUAUUGGUCAAUGGGCGAGAGCCUGAACCAGCCAAGUAGCGUGCAGGAUGACGGCCCUAUGGGUUGUAAACUGCUUUUAUGUGGGGAUAAAGUGCGUGACGUGUCAUGCAUUGCAGGUACCACAUGAAUAAGGACCGGCUAAUUCCGUGCCAGCAGCCGCGGUAAUACGGAAGGUCCGGGCGUUAUCUGGAUUUAUUGGGUUUAAAGGGAGCGUAGGCUGUCUAUUAAGCGUGUUGUGAAAUUUACCGGCUCAACCGGUGGCUUGCAGCGCGAACUGGUCGACUUGAGUAUGCAGGAAGUAGGCGGAAUUCAUGGUGUAGCGGUGAAAUGCGUAGAGAUUAGGAGGAACACCGGUGGCGAAAGCGGCUUUUUGGCCUGCAACUGACACUGAGGCGCGAAAGCGUGGGGAGCAAACAGG
rnacentral:rRNA from 1 species